UAACUCUGGUGUCUCCUCAUUUGCGGAUAAAUCUUUCGCCUUUUACUAAAGAUUUCCGUGGGGAGGCACAAUACAAUGAGUCUUGUCUCAUUUUUUUCAGCUCUGUCUUCGGACGGAGU
rfam:Trichobilharzia regenti genome assembly, scaffold: TRE_scaffold0020511